rnacentral:rRNA from 1 species
UACGUAGGGGGCAAGCGUUGUCCGGAUUUAUUGGGCGUAAAGAGCGUGUAGGCGGCUGGGUAGGUCCGUUGUGAAAACUCGAGGCUCAACCUCGAGACGCCGAUGGAAACCCUCCAGCUAGAGUCCGGAAGAGGAGAGUGGAAUUCCUGGUGUAGCGGUGAAAUGCGCAGAUAUCAGGAGGAACACCGAUGGCGAAGGCAGGUCUCUGGGCCGCAACUGACGCUGAGGAGCGAAAGCAUGGGGAGCGAACAGG